rnacentral:tRNA from 1 species
GGGCCCUUAGCUUAGUUGAUAGAGCGCCUGCUUUGCAAGCAGGAGGUCACCGGUUCGAAUCCGGUAGGGUCCA